UUUCUUCCUUCCCCUCCAUAAAUUAACCCAAUAUCUCUUUGGUUUUCCUUUCUUCAACUGACGAAUAUGGUCUCCAUUCCCAGGCGAGCUGCUGAGCUCAGCUCCAGCGGCAAAAUAGUUCGAGCCGGUCAAACCACUGCUCCCAGGACUCUUAUGAGCGUCCUCCUUCAUUACUGCCCAAUUUAUUCUUGAGACCCAUUCAGUUCCUACUUGUACGAGUGCUACUGGUGGCGGUAAAGUUCUCUCCUCUGUCUUCGACGCAGCCUCUUGCGGUGGCGAUUUCACUUCUGGAGUGGAGCCUUGCUAAUUGUUUGUAAUGACAUGCAGAGUGGGAUGAUGGGAAAGAAACUCCUCAUGGAGAUAGUCAUAAUAAUAAAAGCCAGCGCCAUCAUUAUUCACCAUCCCCAAUGUUUGUUGGAGCCUCACCUGAUGCACGAUUAGUAUCCCCGUGGUUGGGCAGCCAUACAACUUCUUCUAUUGGUUCUACUGCUUCUCCAUGGGAUCAGUUUGCUCCCUCUCCAAUUCCCAUUCGUGCCUCUGGAUCUUCAGCUAAUUCUUCUAGUUCUAGGCAUGGUGGGAAGUCCCAUCAACUUACUUUCUCCUCUGCAAGGUCACAUCAUUAGAGUUAAU